GGUUCGAAAUUGAAAGGCGGCUUCGGCUGUCACUUAUGGAUGGACCCGCGUCGCAUUAGCUAGUUGGUGAGGUAACGGCUCACCAAGGCAACGAUGCGUAGCCGACCUGAGAGGGUGAUCGGCCACACUGGGACUGAGACACGGCCCAGACUCCUACGGGAGGCAGCAGUAGGGAAUCUUCCGCAAUGGACGAAAGUCUGACGGAGCAACGCCGCGUGAGUGAUGAAGGCUUUCGGGUCGUAAAACUCUGUUGUUAGGGAAGAACAAGUGCUAGUUGAAUAAGCUGGCACCUUGACGGUACCUAACCAGAAAGCCACGGCUAACUACGUGCCAGCAGCCGCGGUAAUACGUAGGUGGCAAGCGUUAUCCGGAAUUAUUGGGCGUAAAGCGCGCGCAGGUGGUUUCUUAAGUCUGAUGUGAAAGCCCACGGCUCAACCGUGGAGGGUCAUUGGAAACUGGGAGACUUGAGUGCAGAAGAGGAAAGUGGAAUUCCAUGUGUAGCGGUGAAAUGCGUAGAGAUAUGGAGGAACACCAGUGGCGAAGGCGA
rnacentral:rRNA from 1 species